rnacentral:rRNA from 1 species
GACGAACGCUGGCGGCGUGCUUAACACAUGCAAGUCGAACGGUAAGGCCCCUUCGGGGGUACACGAGUGGCGAACGGGUGAGUAACACGUGAGCAACCUGCCCUUGACACUGGAAUAACAGUUGGAAACAGCUGCUAAUGCCAGAUAUGACCUUCGGUGGCAUCACCCGAAGGUGGAAAGUGCUUAGCGGUCAAGGAUGGGCUCGCGGCCUAUCAGCUUGUUGGUGAGGUAACGGCUCACCAAGGCUUCGACGGGUAGCCGGCCUGAGAGGGCGACCGGCCACACUGGGACUGAGAUACGGCCCAGACUCCUACGGGAGGCAGCAGUGGGGAAUAUUGCACAAUGGGCGCAAGCCUGAUGCAGCAACGCCGCGUGCGGGAUGACGGCCUUCGGGUUGUAAACCGCUUUCAGUUCCGACGAAGCGCAAGUGACGGUAGGAACAGAAGAAGGACCGGCCAACUACGUGCCAGCAGCCGCGGUGAUACGUAGGGUCCGAGCGUUGUCCGGAAUUAUUGGGCGUAAAGGGCUUGUAGGCGGUUUGUCACGUCGAAAGUGAAAACUCAGGGCUUAACCCUGAGCCUGCUUCCGAUACGGGCAAACUAGAGGGAUGCAGGGGAGAAUGGAAUUCCGCGUGUAGCAGUGAAAUGCGUAGAUAUGCGGAGGAACACCGAUGGCGAAGGCAAUCCCCUGGGCCUGCACUGACGCUCAUGCACGAAAGCGUGGGGAGCAAACAGGAUUAGAUACCCUGGUAGUCCACGCCCUAAACGAUGUCAGCUGGUUGUUGGGUCUUCACUGACUCAGUAACGAAGCUAACGCGUGAAGUUGACCGCCUGGGGAGUACGGCCGCAAGGUUGAA